UACAGAGGUCCCAAGCGUUGUUCGGAUUCAUUGGGCGUAAAGGGUGCGUAGGCGGCGCGGUAAGUCGGGUGUGAAAUCUCGGAGCUUAACUCCGAAACUGCAUUCGAUACUGCCGUGCUUGAGGACUGGAGAGGAGACUGGAAUUUACGGUGUAGCGGUGAAAUGCGUAGAUAUCGUAAGGAAGACCAGUGGCGAAAGGCGGGGUCUCUGGACAGUUCCUGACACUGAGACACGAAGGCCAGGGGAGCAAACGGG
rnacentral:rRNA from 1 species